GCUGGCGGCGUGCCUNAUNCAUGCAAGUCGAGCGAACAGAUAAGGAGCUUGCUCCUUUGACGUUAGCGGCGGACGGGUGAGUAACACGUGGAUAACCUACCUAUAAGACUGGGAUAACUUCGGGAAACCGGAGCUAAUACCGGAUAACAUAUUGAACCGCAUGGUUCAAUAGUNAAAANNNNNNNNUGCUGUCACUUAUAGAUGGAUCCGCGCCGUAUUAGCUAGUUGGUAAGGUAACGGCUUACCAAGGCAACGAUACGUAGCCGACCUGAGAGGGUGAUCGGCCACACUGGAACUGAGACACGGUCCAGACUCCUACGGGAGGCAGCAGUAGGGAAUCUUCCGCAAUGGGCGAAAGCCUGACGGAGCAACGCCGCGUGAGUGAUGAAGGUCUUCGGAUCGUAAAACUCUGUUAUCAGGGAAGAACAAAUGUGUAAGUAACUGUGCACAUCUG
rnacentral:rRNA from 1 species